AAAAGUAACAUAAAUAAAUUUGAAAUAUAUCAGUCUGUGUGUAAUGAAUUAAUAUAAUAUACACGUUAAAAUUUUUGAAUAGAAUUAGUUAAAUAAAUCAACUUUGAUAUUCUAAUUAUAUGACAAGCAUGUGUAUAUGUUAUUUUGAGCUAAAACCAUACACACAUACUCUGGGGACAUCAAAGGUUUUUUUUACAUCUUAAAAAAGUCUUGUGAAAUGUCCCCUUUAAUAUGAAUUCACAGAGCUUGCGUUUCCAGUCUGCAGCAGUCUCAUGCGCAUAAAUACAAAAGGACAGCAGAAAAAAAUGUAUCACAAGACCUUUAUCAGCUUGUUCAGCUGUGUUUAACUGGGGAUGGGGCUAAACUCUGCCGGAUAAUGGCUCUCAAGGAGCAAGCCUGGACACCCCUGCCCUGCUGUAAGGCUAACAUACUUAAAGCAUCAAAACUAUAAACUCAUGGGGACUUUAAAAACUGAACCUAAAAAGGCAACCUAAAACAAGCGAAUACCAGAGAACAGAGGACCGGUCAAUUAUGGACGAUGAAACCCAGAAGCUAUUAGAGGACAACGACAGUUUUUUUACAAAAUGCUGGAAGUAAAUAUUACAUCCUUAUACCUGGGAAGACAUUAGAAUGUCAUAAAACUAUCAGAGAUGUCCUUCAACGCACACUGAGUCUAAAGAAGGUGGAGUCUGUGAAGGAGUGUAAUGUUAUAGUGGUUUUAUGUUAUGUUGUUUCAAGGACAGGAACUGACAUUGACGCUGCACUGAAUGAACUUAAUAAACUUUCAGAAUCGAAACCAGCCAUUUUUAUGGUUCUGCAUCACACAUUUGAGCAAGAAAAAAUUGUACCAGACAGCAGCAGGUGUGUAAACAGAGAAAAUACACUUACAGUGGAUCUUCUGUUUCAUGAGGAUGAAGGACUCCUGGAUUGCAUGAAGAAUAAUAAAGCACUGGACAGGAUUAAAAAACACCUGGAAGUACAGGAGCACGGCUGCCUUAUGUCUUUAUUCCUCAACAUGUACCGGAUGUUUUUGUUCUGUUGCCGUUGGGUAGUAAACAUGUGCCGGAGAUACUUGUGCUGUCGCUGUUCGUGCUGUAGCUGUUCGUGCUGUCGCUGUUCGUGCUGUUGCUGUUCGGAACCAGAAGACAACCAGCCGAAUGCUGAUUGUUAAUUUGAAUACCAGUGAAUUCCACAUACCACUCUGGGUUCCCAACUGAGAAAAUGAAAUAAAACAAACACCACUGUAAACCUAUGUGUUCCUGUGGACCUUGUGCUGUCCUCUACUCAUACCAGUAAAACCCUUGACCACAGAGGAAAGAGAGAUGGUAGAGAAUAUGAAGAAAAUGUUUUAGGAGAGAUCUUGGAAAGGGGGUUUGAUCCUUUUCACUAUUACUAAUAAACAAGAAAAGCAGAACAAAAUGUUUAUCCAGAACGAGAAC